CUUAAACCCCCAAAGAUUUUUCCAGACUUCAUGAAAUAGGACAUCUUACAGAGGCUGCAGAAGGUUUCCUGAGAAAAUCGGUCUGCAGCAUCAGAGAAUGCACAUGGGUGGAAAUACAACUGUAAUAAAAAGACUUCAAUUGGUUUUUGCCUGGAAGCAAGAUCUUAAUGAAAUGGGUGCAGCCCGCGUGACAUAGCCCUAUGAUUGUUAUGAGAAUGCGGAAAGGUGCCUCACAUCUGUUACCCAUGGUAGUAUAGACGGUAAGCACAGUGCAGGUUCCUUUAAGGUCUAAAUGGGAGCACCUACUGGACCACAUUGUGAUGCCUUCCUACUCAGCGUGCCUACAUUUUCUUCUUUAAGAAGAUAGAGUUCAUGAAGGAAAAAGGAUGAGAAAGCAAUCUGUACGCUUUUUUUUCUUUGCAAGCUGGAUGGCAACAAGUGGCCCUGAGUCUUGAUACACCCCAGGUCAAGACAAGACAUGCCAGGCAUACAUGCACCUGAGAUUUGCAAGCCACUGGUUCCCACAGUAUAGACGCAGCUGAGCAGAUUGCUGAGGUAGCACAAGGGCCAGAAGUAGCGUAUGUAUCUGGACUGAAUAGCAGCAGUAAAGGGCUGGGGAAAUAAAAAAUUAUUUUAUGGUGAGUGUAUUGUA